GGGGAUAUAGCUCAGCUGGGAGAGCGCUGCGUUCGCAAUGCAGAGGCCGGGGGUUCGAUCCCCCCUAUCUCCACCA
rnacentral:tRNA from 1 species